AUUGCACGCUGGCGGCAGGCUUAACACAUGCAAGUCGAGCGGAGCGGCGGACGGGUGAGUAAUGCUUAGGAAUCUGCCUAUUAGUGGGGGACAACAUCUCGAAAGGGAUGCUAAUACCGCAUACUAUCAGAUGAGCCUAGGUCGGAUUAGCUAGUUGGGGGGGUAAAGGCCUACCAAGGCGACGAUCCGUAACUGGUCUGAGAGGAUGAUCAGUCACACUGGAACUGAGACACGGUCCAGACUCCUCCGGGAGGACGCAGUGGGGAAUAUUGGACAAGGGGCGAAAGCCUGAUCCAGCCAUGCCGCGUGUGUUAAGAAGGUCUUCGGAUUGUAAAGCACUUUAAGUUGGGAGGCGUUACCAACAGAAUAAGCACCGGCUAACUUCGUGCCAGCAGCCGCGGUAAUUC
rnacentral:rRNA from 1 species